AAACUGAAGAGUUUGAUCCUGGCUCAGAUUGAACGCUGGCGGCAUGCCUUACACAUGCAAGUCGAACGGCAGCACGG
rnacentral:rRNA from 2 species